AACUGCGAAUGGCUCAUUAAAUCAGUUAUCGUUUAUUUGAUAGUACCUUACUACAUGGAUACCUGUGGUAAUUCUAGAGCUAAUACAUGCUAAAAACCCCGACUUCGGAAGGGGUGUAUUUAUUAGAUAAAAAACCAACGCCCUUCGGGGCUCCUUGGUGAAUCAUAAUAACUAAACGAAUCGCAUGGCCUUGCGCCGGCGAUGGUUCAUUCAAAUUUCUGCCCUAUCAACUUUCGAUGGUAGGAUAGUGGCCUACCAUGGUGGCAACGGGUAACGGGGAAUUAGGGUUCGAUUCCGGAGAGGGAGCCUGAGAAACGGCUACCACAUCCAAGGAAGGCAGCAGGCGCGCAAAUUACCCAAUCCCGACACGGGGAGGUAGUGACAAUAAAUACUGAUACGGGGCUCUUUCGGGUCUCGUAAUCGGAAUGAGAACGACCUAAAUAACCUAACGAGGAACAAUUGGAGGGCAAGUCUGGUGCCAGCAGCCGCGGUAAUUCCAGCUCCAAUAGCGUAUAUUAAAGUUGUUGCAGUUAAAAAGCUCGUAGUUGAACCUUGGGUCUGGCUGGCCGGUCCGCCUCACCGCGAGUACUGGUCCGGCCGGACCUUUCCUUCUGGGGAACCUCAUGGCCUUCACUGGCUGUGGGGGGAACCAGGACUUUUACUGUGAAAAAAUUAGAGUGUUCAAAGCAGGCCUUUGCUCGAAUACAUUAGCAUGGAAUAAUAGAAUAGGACGUGCGGUUCUAUUUUGUUGGUUUCUAGGACCGCCGUAAUGAUUAAUAGGGAUAGUCGGGGGCGUCAGUAUUCAGCUGUCAGAGGUGAAAUUCUUGGAUUUGCUGAAGACUAACUACUGCGAAAGCAUUCGCCAAGGAUGUUUUCAUUAAUCAGGGAACGAAAGUUAGGGGAUCGAAGACGAUCAGAUACCGUCGUAGUCUUAACCAUAAACUAUGCCGACUAGGGAUCGGACGGGUUUCUAUGAUGACCCGUUCGGCACCUUACGAGAAAUCAAAGUUU
rnacentral:rRNA from 1 species